GAGUGCGGUGUUUUUUUUUCCGGUACUUCCCCCGGGAGUAGCCGAGGGCGCGUGGGGGGAGGGUCCAGAAGGUGGAGCACCGUGAGG
rnacentral:pre_miRNA from 1 species